GGCGUUAUACGUAGUUUUAAUGGUGGUUUUAAUGUUGUCGGCGAUAUAAUUAAGUCUUUUGGGAUGUACAUGUAAGCUACGUCUCAAACAUUAAUAUCGCUAUACAACACCUCUUAAUUGUUAGGGCGGCUUUUAUGUAGCAUUGUGGUGGAUGGAAGUGUACAAAGAAGAUGAUUAAUACGUAAACACAACAGAACAAUGAAACUCUGACCUAAAUCAUAGCACUCUAACUGUGUGAGGAAAACAGUAAACUCUAAAUCAAUUGUUGCAAUGCAUACUAUAUAGAACUUCACUUAAAAUUAGAAUAUAAAUAACAGAAUGCCAUGGGAUUUUGGUGGAUGUUAAUGAUGGCGAGGGACAAUAUCGAUAUUAAUCACAUUAGACAAGUAUGGCAAUCCAGCUACAGCAUUAACUAAACCAAUAGGGUUGGUAAGACAAUAAUGACAGAUUUAGUCUCAGCGAUUUUUAAUAACGUUUUCCUGGCAACAUAACAAAGUGGAAACCCUGUGGUCUGUGUUGCUGAAUAACUGAAAACUAAAGGAGACAUAUAUAUCAUAAAUUUUAAAGAGAUUCGCCAUCUUGUGUUAGGAGUAUGUUUGCAAUUUUAUAAGUCAGUGUAACAACGGUGAUUCCUAAAUUUGAUGUUGCAGACGGCACCAGUUAAAGUAAUUAAGAAAUAUAUUCAUAGGCACGUGGGUUAGAUCAAAUAUUAUUCAAUCUGCCGAUUGCAUUACAAAUAAUAAUCGCGAAUAGAAUCGUGUCUGUUUUGAUAAGGGUGAAUGCAGGAACAGUGCUGAUAAAAACACACAGGAAUAGAAGCAACUGUAUGCAGGUACUGUUUAUUUGACGACCGAUAUUUCUUGCUUACACCAAUGUAAAAGGAUUUAGGUAAAAAAGGCCUAACGAAAAAAGAAGAAAAACUCCUGUUACAGUGGAAGAAGUUAAUUUAGUUCGUGUGUUAGGUUAGAUUGACGAAUUAAUAAUUAAAGAGGGCCACCUAGGUGAAUCUUAGUGCUAUUCAGAAGAAACAGAAACGCGUUUGUGUAAAAAUUCCGAAUGUUAACCUGUGUGACACCAACAGAUUGUUGAAGAUAUGUGAUUAAGUAGAAUUUAAGGACCCUCAUUUCGGCUAUUCUUGUUAUAACUCAGCAGCACCGAAUGAUCAAAAUGUCCGAUUUGCUCUUCAAAAUUCAAAGAGAAACAUGGGCGUAUGUAGCGCUACUUGGACUGUUCGCUAUACACAUUGGAAUUAUUUUGGCUGUUUUAGCCUUCGAGGGAGCCCUGGAACAUGAAAUAACUAGUAUUAUGGAAGUGUUCGGUAUUACUCUUACAUUUCUCGGAUUCUUCCUUUUAAUACUUUCUACAUAUUUACGGGGUCAAUUAAAAAGAAAACUUCGGGUGACAAAGCUUAAGAGUAGAACUAGGCGUAAUUUUAGACAAUGUUCCAGUAAUAAGUUAAAUAAUGAUAAAAACAUUUAUGAUGAUGAUGAUGAUUAUUGUCAUCCAACUUAUACGUGUAAUACGAGUAAAUCUAAAGUGUUUCCAUGGUACAGUGAAAGUUCUGGUCCUAUGCCUAUUAUAUCAACUAACAGACAUAUAGAAGAAUGGUUAAGUCAGCAUCGAGUGGAUAAUUUGAACGAAAACCAAACACCAGAGGACAUCAACGCAAGUCGGUUAUCAUCAUUAGUGUAGCAAAACAUCGUACAUUACUACUAACACAUCAUCAUCAUCAUCAUCAUCACCGUCAUCAUUAAAUAAAGUUAUCGCUCAUUACUCGAUAUAAGUAGUAAAUAUGACGCUUCGUUAUCACUAAAGUUUAUGAUCUUUAAAAUCUAGUUUUAUAUCUCAUGAGUGUCAUGUUGUGCAUUUUAUAGAUGGAAACAGCAAAACAUACAGCCCUCAUUUGCAUUUAUAGGCACAAGGGUAAUCAAAAUGAAUAUAGACGAGUUUGACGCUACGUUGUGAGUUGGCGUUGAUUUCAGUUCACAUGUUUUAGUUAAAACACCGACAUUUGGGUGUAGAUUAAAGACGCAUUACGCAAGAGCUCGCUAAAUCUACCUAUAACAGGUCUUUCUUUUUGUCUCAAAUGUUAUAUAAAUUAUAAAUCAGACACGACAAGACAAUAAUCUACUAUCGUGGCCAUCGGAUGCUCGCGGAUUGAAACAAGAUCGUCGUUUAAUAAUUUAAUUAAAAAAUAAAAUGAAAUGGGAUUUAACGUCCUACUGGGCUAAUGAGGACGGGAAUAUAAUAAUGGAUAAUCGAGACUUUGUUUACUAAUGUAAAUGCAUAAUGCAUCUUUAACCGAGUUAGAAGAAUUGCUUAUACAAUAUUGACAGUAGAAAUAGAAAUGACAUAUUAAACCAAAGGAGAAAAAUGGAUAUUAAAUAACUUGUAUUUGUAUAUGAAAUGAGUACUUAUGUAUAUAUUGUUAUAUUAAAUAUGAUAAUUGUU